GUUCCAGCCCCCUCCCUUGUGACCUUUGGAUGCUUCACAGUCCAGCUCUGAACCUGCUUUCAAAUGGAGAAAGUCUGCCAUACUCUCUGGAACAGAGAGAGAGAGACAGAGAAAGAGAGAAAGAAAGAAAGAAAACCAGUUCCAGCUCUCCCUCCCUGUGUGGUCCAGGCCGCAAACACCUGGUUCAGGGACUACCUUGCGAAAGGAAAAGCCAAUUUACCAUUAAACAUUCAAUAAAGAAAAGACAACAAAGAAAAUCCUCUUGUAAUCACAUUGCAUGCUCAAGACACCUUUCAUGAAGAGAAAUGCAAUCACAGUGGAACAGUGGGCUGGGAUACCAAACAAAAGCUUGAAAUGUGAAAAAGGAAAAAAAAUCUAUCUUGUCAGCACAUCAGCAAAAUUGGAUAAAAGUUGCCGUAUAGUGACAGGUAGAAAACUUGGAGUGUAAAUGAAAGACAAAACAUCAGCUCCAGUGACGGGAGAAGUAGACUAAUCUUUGUGAACACCUACUUCGCGUCUGCAUGUUAUCUACGCUGUCCUUCCAAAUUCUACCAACAAGACGCUAUUAUUCCUGUUUUCUAGACAACAACACUGAUACUUAUGGAGGCGAAAUUCUUGCUUGAAAUGACUGCAGUUAACGAUGGCAGAUUCCACUUUUGAAACCUUGUCUAUCUGACUCCCACUCUACGUUCUUUCCACUAUGAUGUAUUGCCUCCAUGGGAACUAAUAGUCAUUCUGGUCUUAUGGUAAUCUCUCUCUCUCUCUACCUAUACAUGUUAUAUAAUAUGAUAUAUUCAAUAUUUAAUGUUUUACUUAUUCAAAACCAUGAAUAAAUAUUGAAUUAGUCAAG
rnacentral:lncRNA from 1 species